rnacentral:rRNA from 1 species
AACGAACGCUGGCGGCAGGCCUAACACAUGCAAGUCGAACGCUCGUAGCAAUACGGGAGUGGCAGACGGGUGAGUGACACGUGGGAACCUUCCCUAUGGUUCGGAAUAGCUCAGGGAAACUUGGGGUAAUACCGGAUAAGCCCUUCGGGGGAAAGAUUUAUCGCCAUUGGAUGGGCCCGCGUCGGAUUAGCUAGUUGGUGGGGUAACGGCCUACCAAGGCGACGAUCCGUAGCUGGUCUGAGAGGAUGAUCAGCCACACUGGGACUGAGACACGGCCCAGACUCCUACGGGAGGCAGCAGUGGGGAGUAUUGGACAAUGGGCGCAAGCCUGAUCCAGCCAUGCCGCGUGAGUGACGAAGGUCUUCGGAUUGUAAAGCUCUUUUGGCGGGGACGAUAAUGACGGUACCCGCAGAAUAAGCCCCGGCUAACUUCGUGCCAGCAGCCGCGGUAA